UAUAGCUCAGUGAUAAUGCUCUUGCCUGGCAUGCAAGAGGCCCUGGGUUUAAUCCCCAGUA
rnacentral:tRNA from 1 species